AACAUGUUAAUUAUCUGUGGAGACGUUCCCACACUGGAACCAGUGACAUGUUGAGUCCUUGGAUUGAUUCUAACUAACAGUGUUUCUAUAAUUCAUGUCAAAGUAAAGCUGGAUAUAAAAUGAUUUUCAUCCCAGCUCCUUUCAGAUCAAUCUACAGCCCAGAGAAAAGUAGAAAGCUGCAGUUUGUAGGUUUCAUGUCAGAAGAAUGUGAAGAUUUACCUUGUGAAUGUGUUGUGAAGAUGUGUAUUCAUCAUGAUGGUUCUUUUAUUUCCUGACAGCAGACACAUCACAGGUCUCUCCUACCAAUGAGACACAAACAUUGCUUCCUGAUAACAACGGUGGAGUCCAAGCAUUAACCACUCUAGACCACAUCAGUGAAACAGGAGGAAACGAAGAAUCUAACCAAACCCAGACACCUGUAGUGUCUC